GAGAAGUUGACUCAGUGGUAGAGCGCUUGUCUUGUAUGCAGGAAGACAUGGGUUCAAUUCCUAAGCACCACA
rnacentral:tRNA from 1 species